AUCUUAAUAUAUGUUGCCCUGAACAAGCUCGAUCCUGUCUGAUCUCGGAAGCUAAGCAGGGUUGGGCCUGGUUAGUACUUGGGUGGGAGACCAACUAGGAAGACCAGGUGCUGCAGGUG
rnacentral:rRNA from 1 species